CUUGGACACUAGUCCUCUACUGUGUGGGGAAGAUGGGUAUCUCGUCCUCAUACGUGGUGUUACCUCUAAUGGCCUCCGAACUUUACCCGACUGUGGUCCGUGGUCUGGGCAUGAGCUUCAGUGGGGUCGCCGGCAUGCUCGGUCCUGUCUUCAUACCCUUAGUCAACUACAUGGGGGCUGACAUGCUGGUCCUGCCACUUCUUGUCAUGGGAGCUCUUCUGGUGACUGGAGGUCUGUUUAGUCUUCUGCUCCCGGAAACUCUCCACCAGCAACCUCCCCCAGACACUCGAGGACGGUGAAGCCUUCGGCAAGGACUGGUUCAGCUGCUGCCCGACCAGGGUCAGUGAUGUAUCCAAGAAUGAGAAACUGCCGGUGCAAAUAGUUCCCGAGUCUCCCAUCAAAAGCCUGCUGACGGCCGUCACGAGAGAGACUCCUCUGUCAACUCCCGUCGUCACAGACGGCACAUCGUCCACCGACGUCACCUCAGACACUGUUCUGUCCGUCGGCAGGGAACAGACGGUCCGUGUCACAGUCGUCUGACCCCGGCUAGCCGCAACCGACCUUCUAGCCGCCCCUGACCGUCUGUGGUGGGCGAUCCUGCUGUAUAUACCUCAACGGUCUCAACUAACCGCACAAUUUUUUCUACUUUAUACAGUUUUUGUCAAACAUGAACUAGAAAGACAAUUUUAAAGUUUUAUAAUUAGUGGGAUAAAAAUCGUAGUUGUUCAGUGUUCUUUCAGAGACUAUCUUUAGGGAUUCAUUUAUCUUUCGUAAGCGUACUCAGCCUGGAGACUCCCCAUUGUUAUUUCGUAAUGUAUUCAGCGUCUAAAUUUCAAAAAUGACUUUACUUUUAUCAAAUUAAAUGUUAAUUGUUGAAAUUAAUUUAAAUUAUACUGGAUUCAUCAAGUGUUUACAGUAAUACCCCGUCCACAUUGUGAAGAGAUUCUGGGGUAGUGACCAAUCAGAGCAAGAAACCGUCCACGUGGGCUGAGCGUAAUCGCAGAAUUUCCGCGCGAUGAGUUCACAACCGGUCACUCUCACCUUCACCUUAAUCCUAAAAAGGAGAGAACUCUGGCACGGUGGAUCUAUUACAAUCAGCGAUGAAACGUUUACUGACAAUAUAAAAGCUCAAAUGCCUUGACAUGGCGCUGCUCUUGACGGCGUGUGAACCGGGUAGUCACCUUGUCAUGACAGUGGUGGGCGACACUCUUAACACUCUGUUAAUUUAGUAUGGUUUAAUGAUGUAGAUGAUACGCCGUUAUUAACGCAUUUUCAGCAACAUUUGAAGUAUAAAUUUAUGUGUAUUAUUCAUUGUACUGAAAAAUCAACAAAAAGAAAAAAAAGCUAUUCCUACGUAUUUUAAAAAGUACAGCAUUUGUACACAAAUAUGUUUUUUAUCAAAACGACUAAAACUAAACUAUUUCUAGCCGAUAUCGUUAUCAGAUAAACAUUGGCUUCAUUAUAAACGAUACAAAUUCUUUGAUUGAAUCAUUUAGAGGUCAAAAGUAUGAGUUGUGUUUAUUCUUCCUGUUUCUGUUCCAAUAGUUGAGGUUAGAAAGUGAAAUAUAACGACAUAGUUUGUAACGAGCACAACUGUACUGUAAUAUUGUCUUGCCCAAUUGUGCCUUGGUAAUUUUUAUACAACAUACUUUUAUGUUUAUAAAAAUUAAAUACGGAAA
rnacentral:lncRNA from 1 species